GAUGAACGCUGGCGGCGUGCCUAAUACAUGCAAGUCGAACGAUGAUGCUGGAGCUUGCUCCAGUUGAUUAGUGGCGAACGGGUGAGUAACACGUGAGCAAUCUGCCCUUGACUCUGGGAUAACUGCGGGAAACUGUAGCUAAUACCGGAUACUUUCACCGGACGGCAUCUUUUGGUGAUGAAAGAACUUCGGUCAGGGAUGGGCUCGCGGCCGAUCAGCUUGUUGGUGAGGUAACGGCUCCCCAGGGCGACGACGGGUAACCGGCCUGAGGGGGUGACCGGUCACACUGGGACUGAGACACGGCCCAGACUCCUACGGGAGGCAGCAGUGGGGAAUAUUGCACAAUGGGCGCAAGCCUGAUGCAGCAACGCCGCGUGAGGGAUGAAGGCCUUCGGGUUGUAAACCUCUUUUAGCAGGGAAGAAGCGAAAGUGACGGUACCUGCAGAAAAAGCACCGGCUAACUACGUGCCAGCAGCCGCCGUAA
rnacentral:rRNA from 1 species